AAAAAAUGGCGGCGAAAAAGUUAAAAUAAAAAAAUUUUCAUGCAUUCUUUUUGAAUUUCAAGCCAGCACGACGCGAGAAAUGGCUUGUCUAAAAGCGGAAGAAAAGUAUCUGCAGUAUUUUCUCAACGAGAGUUGGCGAUUUUUGUCCCCUAAAUACCUCGUAUUUAAUAAUUCAUGAAUCAUGCCAAGUCAAUUCUUCUCAAGAACAAAAUGGUUAGUGCUUUGUUUGUGUCGUGUAAAUAUAAAAGUGAAAAAUAUGUUGGUUGCUGAAAAAUAAGUUGAAUUGUUGAAAGAUAGCUAUAUAUAUGGCUAGAAGAGGGUCCUGAAGGGGUAAAAUGGGAACUGG
rnacentral:lncRNA from 1 species